CUGCCUUUUACUGGGGAAUAAUCACUGGAAACGGUGACUAAUACCGCAUAAUAUUCUUGGAAGGCAUCUUCCGAGAAGGAAAGGAAAUAUUCGGUAAAAGAUGGGCCCGCAUCUGAUUAGCUAGUUGGUGAGAUAACAGCCCACCAAGGCGACGAUCAGUAGCCGACCUGAGAGGGUGACCGGCCACAUUGGGACUGAGACACGGCCCAAACUCCUACGGGAGGCAGCAGUGGGGAAUAUUGCACAAUGGGGGGAACCCUGAUGCAGCAACGCCGCGUGAAGGAAGACGGUUUUCGGAUUGUAAACUUCUAUCAAUAGGGAAGAAAGAAAUGACGGUACCUAAAUAAGAAGCCCCGGCUAACUACGUGCCAGCAGCCGCGGUAAUACGUAGGGGGCAAGCGUUAUCCGGAAUUACUGGGUGUAAAGGGAGAGUAGGCGGCAAGGUAAGCGAUAUGUGAAAGCCUUAGGCUUAACCUGAGGAUUGCAUAACGAACUAUCUAGCUAGAGUACAGGAGAGGAAAGCGGAAUUCCUAGUGUAGCGGUGAAAUGCGUAGAUAUUAGGAAGAACACCAGUGGCGAAGGCGGCUUUCUGGACUGAAACUGACGCUGAGGCUCGAAAGCGUGGGGAGCGAACAGGAUUAGAUACCCUGGUAGUCCACGCUGUAAAC
rnacentral:rRNA from 1 species